UUGAUUGUGGCCUAGUGGUUAGAGCGUCCACCAAAGAUGCGGGAGGUCGCAGGUUCGAAACCCGGCCGAGUUGUACCAAA